CCUACGGGUGGCUGCAGUGGGGAAUUUUCCGCAAUGGGCGAAAGCCUGACGGAGCAAUACCGCGUGAGGGAUAAAGGCCUUCGGGUUGUAAACCUCUUUUAUCAAGGAGGAAAUUUUGACGUGUACUUGAUGAAUAAGCAUCGGCUAACUCCGUGCCAGCAGCCGCGGUAAGACGGAGGAUGCAAGUGUUAUCCGGAAUUAUUGGGCGUAAAGCGUCUGUAGGUGGUUUAAAAAGUCCAUGGUUAAAACUUGAAGCUUAACUUCAAAGAUGCCAUGGAAACUUUUAAACUUGAGUAUGGUAGGGGUAAAGGGAAUUUCCAGUGGAGCGGUGAAAUGCGUAGAUAUUGGAAAGACCACCGACGGCGAAGGCACUUUACUGGGCCAUUACUGACACUAAGAGACGAAAGCUAGGGGAGCAAAUGGGAUUAGAUACCCUAGUAGUC
rnacentral:rRNA from 1 species